GACGAACGCUGGCGGCGUGCUUAACACAUGCAAGUCGAACGGUGAUGCUCCAGCUUGCUGGAGUGGAUCAGUGGCGAACGGGUGAGUAACACGUGAGCAACCUGCCCCAGACUCUGGAAUAAGCGCUGGAAACGGCGUCUAAUACUGGAUACGAAACUGGCCCGCAUGGGCAUGGUUUGGAAAGUUUUUCGGUUUGGGAUGGGCUCGCGGCCUAUCAGCUUGUUGGUGAGGUAAUGGCUCACCAAGGCGACGACGGGUAGCCGGCCUGAGAGGGCGACCGGCCACACUGGGACUGAGACACGGCCCAGACUCCUACGGGAGGCAGCAGUGGGGAAUAUUGCACAAUGGGCGAAAGCCUGAUGCAGCGACGCCGCGUGGGGGAUGACGGCCUUCGGGUUGUAAACCUCUUUCAGCAGGGAAGAAGCGAAAGUGACGGUACCUGCAGAAGAAGCACCGGCUAACUACGUG
rnacentral:rRNA from 1 species